GGUUACCUUGUUACGACUUCAGUAGAAGCGAGCAUCAUCUUUAAGGGGAGAUUGUCACAACAUCGCCGGCCCUAGCUCGCGAUCCCAGGCCGAUAUCCAGCACACGGGUAACCAAUAUAUAAGUAUUGUACGGCAGAAAAAAGAAUAGUUGUUGCAAACGACUUGCAAUGCUCUAGAUGCCCUUAAUACAAAAGUAUGCAGGGGAAAUAUUUAUAGCUCUAAGAUCGGCCUGUACGGUAUCAGCUUGUUGGUGAGGUAAUGGCUCACCAAGGCUAUGACGCCUAACUGGUUUGAGAGGAUGAUCAGUCACACUGGAACUGAGACACGGUCCAGACUCCUACGGGAGGCAGCAGUAAGGAAUAUUGCGCAAUGGAGGCAACUCUGACGCAGCCAUGCCGCGUGAAGGAAGAAGGCCUUAUGGGUCGUAAACUUCUUUUAUUUAGGAAUAAUCCCCCCGACGUGUCGGGGGUUGAAGGUACUAAACGAAUAAGCACCGGCUAACUCCGUGCCAGCAGCCGCGGUAAUACGGAGGGUGCAAGCGUUAUCCGGAUUUAUUGGGUUUAAAGGGUGCGCAGGCGGACCAAUAAGUCAGUGGUGAAAUCUCGGGGCUCAACCCCGAAACUGCCAUUGAUACUGCUGGUCUUGAAUACGGUUGAAGUAGGCGGAAUGUAGCAUGUAGCGGUGAAAUGCAUAGAGAUGCUACAGAACACCGAUCGCGAAGGCAGCUUACUAAGCCGAUAUUGACGCUCAGGCACGAAAGCGUGGGGAGCGAACAGGAUUAGAUACCCUGGUAGUCCACGCCGUAAACUAUGAUCACUCGUUGUUGGCAAUACACAGUCAGUGACCAAGCGAAAGCGAUAAGUGAUCCACCUGGGGAGUACGAUCGCAAGGUUGAAACUCAAAGGAAUUGACGGGGGCCCGCACAAGCGGUGGAGCAUGUGGUUUAAUUCGAUGAUACGCGAGGAACCUUACCUGGGCUCAAAUGCAUAAUGACAAACCCUGAAAGGGGUCUUUCUUCGGACAUUUUGCAAGGUGCUGCAUGGUUGUCGUCAGCUCGUGCCGUGAGGUGUCGGGUUAAGUCCCAUAACGAGCGCAACCCCUACUCUUAGUUGCCAGCAUGUAAUGAUGGGGACUCUAGGAGAACUGCCUACGCAAGUAGAGAGGAAGGUGGGGAUGACGUCAAAUCAGCACGGCCCUUACGUCCAGGGCUACACACGUGCUACAAUGGCCGGUACAGAGGGCAGCCACCUGGUGACAGGGAGCGAAUCUCUAAAGCCGGUCUCAGUUCGGAUGGAAAGUCUGCAACCAGAGUUCGUGAAGCCGGAAUCGAUAGUUUUCAAGCGUCAGCCAUGGAACGGUGAUUACGCUCCCGGACGUGUGACACAGCUCCCGUCAAUUCCACGUAGGUUGGGGGGACAGGAAGUCGGGAAUCCGGGAGAAAUGCUGCCCUGGGGUCACUGUUGUAACUAGAGCUUGAGCCAGGAUCAAACUCU
rnacentral:rRNA from 1 species